rnacentral:ncRNA from 2 species
AGCAAUCUUCAGGGCAGGGUGUAAUUCCCUACCGGUGGUACAGCCCACGAGCCGUAAGGCAUGAUUCGGUGAAACUCCGAAGCCGACAGUACAGUCUGGAUGAAAGAAGAUAAAC